AAGAUGAGAGGAGAGGAUGGGAGGGAGAAGUAACAAAAGUGAAAACAAAAACUAAAAACUGAAAUCUAUUUCAAAUUGUUUUCACUUUCAAGAUUUUGUUUUCAUUUUUGUUACUCCUCCCUCUCAUCAUCCCCCUCUCAUCCU
rnacentral:miRNA from 1 species